AUUGAGGCGUGUCUUCCCUGGUUCUGCGUCCGUGAAGCCUAGAGAUUCCCGAGCCUGGGUCACCCGGGCGGUGUCGCAUGUCGUCUGCGGGGAGGUUGGGGCUGCUCGCGCGAGGCGCUCUGGGUCUCAUUUCCGAGGCCGAAAAUGCUGGCUCCAAAGUGGUGCCCUGGGAGAUGAGGGCGACUCGCAGAUUCCACCCUAUUCUCUGAAUGGGCUUCGAGUCUCCAUGGUAACGGCCCCUCCCAGUUCCCCUGUGACUUCAUAGCUGCCCACGGGAGGGGAGAAAGCUGAUGUGAAGGGGCUGUGGGUUCUCAGCCAAGCUCUGUCUUUGAGGCCACCUACCCUAUACCACUCGUCCCGGAAAGGGUGAGCCGGUGACCUUUCACCCUCUCUGGGCCUCAGUUUCCCUUUUUGUGAAAUAAUGUCUGGUACCCCUGCUGUGCUCCCUUACUAUUUCAGGGCCCCGGGCAAGAGACACACUCUGUGUCUCAGUUUCCGCAUAGGUAAAGUGAGGAUGAUGUUAGAAUUUGAUGUUAAAAUUUAGGUGGUGGUUGUGAGAAUUAAGGGAACCUCAGAGCAAUGGCCAGCACACAAUGACCCUUCAAAUGUCAGCGGCUUUGAUGAUCACCAUUCUUACCUUUUCUUUGGAGAUUUGGACAAGUUACCGCCCCACCUUCCUCCAGGGUCUUUGUGUAUUGAUCUGCAGGUUGGAUGUAUUGGAUGUUACGACCACUAAACUUUCUUCUGAGCACACACGAGCAGUGGUGUUGUUCUCUCUGAGAAAUACUACAGGCUUUGGUGUUAAGACACUGGAAUUCCGGAAACCUGUCCCUGUCAUACCAGUUGCUGUGUGACCUCCGUCAAUCAUGGUUCUUUACUGAGCCCUGAGACUCCGCACGUGAAAAUGGAUGGGGAUGAACUUCCAGUCCAGGCAGUGCCACUGACUUUGCUUGGGGACCUGGGGCAAGCUCUGUGGCCCAGCAUUGCACCAUCUGUAACAACAUAACCAAGGGGUGCGCAAUUGAGCUUUGAGGUUAAUUUCGGUGCUAAAAUCCCGGUCAGUAGUUCCGUCAUCUUCACAGACCUCACCCUACCCAAUGCCCUUAUUGUGCUCCACAUCCCAAUCAACACUUACUGAUUCCAGAUUUGUAAUUUUUGCCAUUGUAGUGAGAAGUAAUUAACUAUUUUAUGGUUUUUUAAAUUUGAAUUUUUGACUAUCAGGAUUAGCAUAUUUUUUUUUUCUUCGUUAAAGACUAGUCAAGUGCAUUAGUGAGGAGGGGGGAAAGAGUAGACCAAGGAAUUUGGUCUGUAACUGACUGUGGACAAUACAUUGGUAGAACUCACUACCUUUGAGCCAGCCAGAAUCUUUUUAUUAUUCACUGGAUAUUCAGGUUUUGCCUCUGUAAAUUUUCUUUCAUUGCCAUUUUUUUCAAAUAGUUCAUUCAAUCUUUGUUUUCAGAUGUGCUUUCCACAAUCAGGUUACAAAUUCUCUGCCACUAAUGAUCAUUACAAUUCCUCUUCUCAGCC
rnacentral:lncRNA from 1 species